rnacentral:rRNA from 1 species
AGUGAACGCUGGCGGCAGGCCUAACACAUGCAAGUCGAGCGGCAGCGCGUCCGACCACCCUCGGGUGGUCGGAUGGCGGCGAGCGGCGGACGGGUGAGGAAUGCAUCGGAAUCUGCCUCGUUGUGGGGGAUAACGUAGGGAAACUUACGCUAAUACCGCAUACGACCUACGGGUGAAAGUGGGGGACCUUCGGGCCUCACGCGAUGAGAUGAGCCGAUGCCGGAUUAGCUAGUUGGCGGGGUAAAGGCCCACCAAGGCGACGAUCCGUAGCUGGUCUGAGAGGAUGAUCAGCCACACUGGAACUGAGACACGGUCCAGACUCCUACGGGAGGCAGCAGUGGGGAAUAUUGGACAAUGGGGGCGAACCCUGAUCCAGCCAUGCCGCGUGUGUGAAGAAGGCCUCGG